GGGCUGAUAGCUCAGUUGGUCAGAGCAGGCGACUCAUAAUCACUUGGUCGGGGGUUCAAGUCCCUCUCAGCCCACC
rnacentral:tRNA from 1 species